UGAGGAAUUUUGCGCAAUGGGAGCAAUCCUGACGCAGCAACGCCGCGUGGGUGAUGAAGGCCUUCGGGUCGUAAAGCCCUGUCGGGUGGGAAGAAUGUCCCGGGACUGAACAGGUUUCGGGAGUGACGGUACCACCAGAGGAAGCACCGGCUAACUCCGUGCC
rnacentral:rRNA from 1 species